UACGGAGGGUGCAAGCGUUAUCCGGAUUCACUGGGUUUAAAGGGUGCGUAGGUGGGCAGGUAAGUCAGUGGUGAAAUCUCCGGGCUUAACUCGGAAACUGCCAUUGAUACUAUCUUUCUUGAAUACCGUGGAGGUCAGCGGAAUAUGUCAUGUAGCGGUGAAAUGCUAGAUAUGACAUAGAACACCAAUUGCGAAGGCAGCUGGCUACACGAAUAUUGACACUGAUGCACGAAAGCGUGGGGAUCAAACAGG
rnacentral:rRNA from 1 species